GAUGAAGAACGCAGCGAAAUGCGAUAAGUAGUGUGAAUUGCAGAAUUCAGUGAAUCAUUGAAUCUUUGAACGCACAUUGCGCCCCUUGGUAUUCCAUUGGGCAUGCCUGUUCGAGCGUCAUUUGUACCUUCAAGCUUUGCUUGGUGUUGGGUGUUUGUCCCGAGGGACUCGCCUUAAAGUAAUUGGCAGCCAGUGUUUGGUUUUGAAGCGCAGCACAAGUCGCGAUUCAAGGCUACACGCCCGCUUCCACAAGCCUUUUUUCACUUUUGACCUCGGAUCAGGUAGGGAUACCCGCUGAACUUAAGCAUAUCAAUAAGCGGAGGA
rnacentral:misc_RNA from 1 species